rnacentral:rRNA from 1 species
AUCAACUUUCGAUGGUAGGAUAGAGGCCUACCAUGGUGGUAACGGGUAACGGGGUGUUAGGGCACGACACCGGAGAGGGAGCCUGAGAAACGGCUACCACAUCCAAGGAUGGCAGCAGGCGCGCAAAUUACCCAAUCCCGACACGGGGAGGUAGUGACAAUAAAUAACAAUACGGGGUCCUUUGGGUCUCGUAAUUGGAAUGAGUACAAUUUAAAUCUCUUAACGAGGAACAAUUGGAGGGCAAGUCUGGUGCCAGCAGCCGCGGUAAUUCCAGCUCCAAUAGCGUAUAUUAAAGUUGUUGCAGUUAAAAAGCUCGUAGUUGAAUUUCGGGGUUAGUAGGUUGGUCAUGCCUCUGGUAUGUACUGAUCUCACUGAUUCCUCCCUCUUGACGAACUGUAAUGUCAUUAAUUUGGUGUUGCAGGAAAUCAGGACUGUUACUUUGAAAAAAUUAGAGUGUUUAAAGCAGGCUUAGGCUUGAAUACAUUAGCAUGGAAUAAUGAAAUAGGACGUUUGAACCUAUUUUGUUGGUUUCUAGGAUCGACGUAAUGAUUAAUAGGGAUAGUUGGGGGCAUUAGUAUUCAAUUGUCAGAGGUGAAAUUCUUGGAUUUAUUGAAGACUAACUACUGCGAAAGCAUUUGCCAAGGAUGUUUUCAUUAAUCAAGAACGAAAGUUAGGGGAUCGAAGACGAUCAGAUACCGUCGUAGUCUUAACCAUAAACUAUGCCGACUAGGGAUCGGAUGAUGUUAAUUUUUUAAUGACUCAUUCGGCGCCUUACGGGAAACCAAAGUGUUUGGGUUC